GACGAAGGGGGCUAGCGUUGCUCGGAUUGACUGGGCGUAAAGGGCGCGUAGGCGGUUCGUACAGUCAGACGUGAAAUCCCCAGGCUCAACCUGGGAACUGCGUCUGAUACUGGAUGGCUUGAAUCCGGGAGAGGGAUGCAGAAUUCCAGGUGUAGCGGUGAAAUGCGUAGAUAUCAAGAGGAACACCUGAGGUGAAGACGGGUUGCUGGGCUGACACUGACGCUGAGGCGCGAAAGCCAGGGGAGCAAACGGG
rnacentral:rRNA from 1 species